rnacentral:tRNA from 2 species
GAUCGCGUAACUCAGAGGUAGAGUACUUCGUUGACAUCGAAGCGGCCAUUGGUUCAACUCCAAUCGUGAUCACCA